UAAAGAAACUCUUACUGCAUGAAGCUAUGG
rnacentral:piRNA from 1 species